rnacentral:misc_RNA from 1 species
UUCAGUUGUGGUCAAGUGCGGCACCGCCUUGGCCGCGACCCGGUUUCCUGUGUUGCGUACCCACGCGAAGGCAUUCGUUCGUCCCAACGUCCCUCGUUCGUCUAGCGGUCCGCUCCUUGGCGGGUCGCGAGACGAAACUCGCAGCAUGAUCCGUUACCCGUGCGGCGUCUCUGCCGACGCGGCGAACGGGGCAUCGCUCGAGCUCUCGGAUACGGAAAGCGCAURGGGCAUCGGGGGUCUCGCGGCCUCCCAUCGUUGCCCGAACUCGCAUUACGCACCGACGGUGCACGACCGUCGCUCCCGUCUCGGCCCGGCCGUGCGGCGACGACGUCGUUCUCGAGGAAUGCUACCUGGUUGAUCCUGCCAGUAGCAUAUGCUUA